UACAGAGGGUGCGAGCGUUAAUCGGGAUUACUGGGCGUAAAGCGUGCGCAGGCGGUUUUGUAAGUCAGAUGUGAAAUCCCCGGGCUUAACCUGGGAACUGCGUUUGAAACUACAAGGCUAGAGUGUGGCAGAGGGGGGUGGAAUUCCACGUGUAGCAGUGAAAUGCGUAGAGAUGUGGAGGAACACCGAUGGCGAAGGCAGCCCCCUGGGUUAACACUGACGCUCAGGCACGAAAGCGUGGGGAGCAAACAGG
rnacentral:rRNA from 1 species